AUGGUUAAGUGACUAAGCGU
rnacentral:rRNA from 1 species